UACGUAGGUGGCAAGCGUUUUCCGGAAUUAUUGGGCGUAAAGCGCGCACAGGCGGUCUCUUAAGUCUGAUGUGAAAGCCCACGGCUCAACCGUGGAGGGUCAUUGGAAACUGGGGGACUUGAGUACAGAAGAGGAAAGUGGAAUUACACGUGUAGCGGUGAAAUGCGUAGAUAUGUGGAGGAACGCCAGUGGCGAAGGCGACUUUCUGGUCUGUAACUGACGCUGAGGCGCGAAAGCGUGGGGAGCAAACAGG
rnacentral:misc_RNA from 1 species